GACGAACGCUGGCGGCGUGCUUAACACAUGCAAGUCGAACGGAAAGGCCCUGCUUUUGUGGGGUGCUCGUGUGGCGAACGGGUGUGUAACACGUGUGUAACCUGCCCUUGACUUUGGGAUAACUUCAGGAAACUGGGGCUAAUACCUGAUAGGAGCUCUUUCUGCAUGGUUGGGGUUGGUUAUUUUCUGCGGUUUGGGCUGGACUCGCGGCUUAUCUGCUUGUUGGUGGGGUAGUGGCUUACCAAGGCUUGGACGGGUAGCCGGCCUGGGAGGGUGACCGGCCACAUGGGGACUGAGAUACGGCCAAGACUCCUAGGGGAGGAAGAAGGGGGAAGUAUGGCACAAUGGGCGGAAGCCUGAGGCAGGAAGGCGGCGUGCGGGAUAAGGGCCUUCGGGUGGAAAACCGUUUUGGCAGGUGAGAAAGCGUGAGUGACGGUAAUGAGUAAAGAAGCACCGGCUAACUACGUG
rnacentral:rRNA from 1 species